AGGGUUCGAUUCUGGCUCAGGACGAACGCUGGCGGCGUGCCUAACACAUGCAAGUCGAGCGGGGAUCAUGGAAGAGCUUGCUCGGAAAUGAUUCUAGCGGCGGACGGGUGAGUAACGCGUGAGCAACCUGCCUUUCACAGGGGGAUAACGCAUCGAAAGAUGCGCUAAUACCGCAUGAGACCACAGCGCCACAUGGCAUAGGGGUCAAAGGAGCAAUCCGGUGAGAGAUGGGCUCGCGUCUGAUUAGCUAGUUGGUGAGGUAACGGCCCACCAAGGCGACGAUCAGUAGCCGACCUGAGAGGGUGAUCGGCCACAUUGGAACUGAGAGACGGUCCAA
rnacentral:rRNA from 1 species